ACACAAAGAGACAGACAGACAUGCAGUAAGAGAGACAGACAAGCAGGCAGACAAAAGAGAGAGAGAGAGAGAGAGAGAGAGAGAGAGAGACAUAUAGACACAAAGAGAGACAGACAGACAUGCAGUAAGAGAGACAGACAAGCAGGCAGACAAAAAGAGAGAGAGAGAGAGAGAGAGAGAGAGAGAGAGACAGACAUAUAGACACAAGAGAGACAGACAGACAUGCAGUAAGAGAGACAGACAAGCCAGGCAGGCAGACAAAAAGAGACAGACAGACAUGCAGUAAGAGAGACAGACAAGCAGGCAGGCAGACAAAAAGAGACAGACA
ensembl:lncRNA